AUGAGUUCGAUGCCUUGGUGCAGCAGGAAAGGCCAAGCGACUGAAUCUUCAAAGGGAAGACGUGGAAGGCAUGGCAUCUGCGAAUGCUUCUGGUUUCAUAUAGCCCUUGAUGAUUUGGACGGGACCCAGGGAGCCGAAGUUUGCUCUGGUAACCGAUACAAUCAAGGAUGGAAUUUUUGCAUGCCUGAAGAUUCUAAAGGCUUGGUCAGUAAGGAAGAGGACAGUGGCGACUCUCAUGGUAAGCUGGCAGGCAACGACUCUCGUGGUUACACCCCCGGGGAUGGUGUGCCCAGUGACCUCAUUUUUCCAUGGUUGCUCAUUUUGCUUCGUUACUAA
rnacentral:rRNA from 1 species